rnacentral:rRNA from 1 species
AACGAACGCUGGCGGCAGGCCUAACACAUGCAAGUCGAGCGAGGACUUCGGUUCUAGCGGCGGACGGGUGAGUAACGCGUGGGAAUGUGCCCUUCUCUACGGAAUAGCCCUGGGAAACUGGGAGUAAUACCGUAUACGCCCUAUUGGGGAAAGAUUUAUCGGAGAAGGAUCAGCCCGCGUUGGAUUAGGUAGUUGGUGGGGUAAUGGCCUACCAAGCCGACGAUCCAUAGCUGGUUUGAGAGGAUGAUCAGCCACACUGGGACUGAGACACGGCCCAGACUCCUACGGGAGGCAGCAGUGGGGAAUCUUAGACAAUGGAGGCAACCCUGAUCAAGCCAUGCCGCGUGAGUGAUGAAGGCCUUAGGGUUGUAAAGCUCUUUCAGCUGGGAAGAUAAUGACGGUACCAGCAGAAGAAGCCCCGGCUAACUCCGUG